UAUCGUUAUUAGAGCAACGUCGAUUACGACCGAACCAUCACUAUCAGGCGUUUUUUUCAUUAUUAUUUUUUUAUCACAGACACUUAGAAACACACAGUAAGCCUACAGCUAUGAGUGGUAAAAAGAAGGUACCACGUAUAGAUUACGAUCAACAUUUUGACAGCAGGGCAUACUUAAAGUUCUUUGAAGUCGAGCCGAGUAUGCAUGGAUUCUUGCCUUUCGUACUACGCCACCUGAACAAUACAUUUUCAUCAGGAAACCUCAAGGGCAAAAAGCUGAUUGACCUGGGGAGUGGACCUACAAUCCAUAUCAUAAUAAGUGCAAGCAAAUACUUUGAAGAAAUAGUGGCGUCCGAUUUGACUAGCGGGAGUCGCAGAGAGAUCGAGAAGUGGCUUAAAAAGGAGGAAGACUGUUUUAACUGGCGUCCCUUCAUCGAGUUCGUCUGUGAAAUGGAAGGCAGAAGCAGGUCACCAGAAGAGGUGGAACAGAGGCUUAGGCAGAUUGUGC